UGGGGAAUUUUGGACAAUGGGGGAAACCCUGAUCCAGCCAUCCCGCGUGUGCGAUGAAGGCCUUUGGGUUGUAAAGCACUUUUGGCAGGAAAGAAACGUCAUGGGUUAAUACCCCGUGAAACUGACGGUACCUGCAGAAUAAGCACCGGCUAACUACGUGCCAGCAGCCGCGGUAAUACGUAGGGUGCAAGCGUUAAUCGGAAUUACUGGGCGUAAAGCGUGCGCAGGCGGUUCGGAAAGAAAGAUGUGAAAUCCCAGAGCUCAACUUUGGAACGGCAUUUUUAACUACCGGGCUAGAGUGUGUCAGGGGGAGGUGGAAUUCCGCGUGUAGCAGUGAAAUGCGUAGAUAUGCGGAGGAACACCGAUGGCGAAGGCAGCCUCCUGGGAUAACACUGACGCUCAUGCACGAAAGCGUGGGGAGCAAACAGG
rnacentral:rRNA from 1 species